rnacentral:tRNA from 1 species
GGGUAGGUGGCGAAAUUGGUAUACGCAUCACACUCAAAAUGUGACAACUAGUGUUAUGAGGGUUCGAGUCCCUCUCUACCCA